GGGUCUUUGGUGAUGUGGUCAGCACGUGUGACUCUUACCCAGGAGUCUACGGUUCAAACCCCGCUUGGGCCCU